rnacentral:rRNA from 1 species
UGGGGAAUCUUGCGCAAUGGGGGAAACCCUGACGCAGCCACGCCGCGUGGAGGAAGACACCCCUAUGGGGCGUAAACUCCUUUUCUGUCGGAAGAAAACCCUGUUUUGCAGGGCCUGACGGUACGACAGGAAUAAGCACCGGCUAACUCCGUGCCAGCAGCCGCGGUAAUACGGAGGGUGCAAGCGUUGUCCGGAAUUACUGGGCGUAAAGGGUGUGCAGGCGGGACAGCAAGUCAGCGGUGAAAUACUGCGGCUUAACCGUAGAAGUGCCGUUGAAACUGUUGUUCUUGAGUCCUAGAGAGGUCGCUGGAAUUCGUGGUGUAGCGGUGAAAUGCGUAGAUAUCACGAGGAACACCAGAGGCGUAAGCGAGCGACUAGAUAGGUACUGACGCUGAGGCACGAAAGCGUGGGGAGCAAACA